rnacentral:lncRNA from 1 species
AGCUACUUGCUCCUGUCUAGACCUACGUGCUUCCUUGCUCAGAGCCCAGAUUGGGGCUCUCCAGUACAAAAAUACAAAUCCCAAAAUGCCUCCCGCCACCCAAUCGGAAAGCUUGUGAGCACUGUAUGACACCACGGGUGGGAAAUCCUACACCUGACCUCAUGGCAUGUGCCCCACUCAAAACAGAUGUUUAAAAACUACCAUAGAAGGAAACCAUCAGGUUGUGUGUGUCAGGUGCAUUUGAAAUGUAAGAUAGUUCUGAGUUUAGACUUGGACCCAUCUCCAAGUUAUCUUGGUUUCAGAUGUAUAUAUUUCAAAAUCCCAAACACUUCUCUUUUUUUAGCAUUUAUUUAUUGAUUUCAUGCAUGACAUCACAUAAAUGUGAAAGUGGGAAGGCAAUUUGCACAAGUCAGUUCUCUCCCUCCAUCGCACGGUUCCAGGGAUUGAACUCAGGGCACUGGCAGUGAACGCCCGCACUCACUGAGUCAUCAUUCAGUGGCUCUACAAACACUUCUUAAGUUGGUCAGAUUUUGUGUUGUGACAAAAUAAUGACAAUGCAAUCUAAAAGUAAAAUCUGAUCUAUUUUGGCUCAUGGUUUCAGAGAGUUCAGUCCAUGUUUGCUUGGCACCAUGGUGUACUGGCACAAAAUGUCCUGGUGGUGGUAACACAACCCAGAGGCGUCUCUUCAUAGAAAAUAGAGAAGAGAGAGAGAGAGAGAGAGAGAGAGAGAGAGAGAGAGAGAGAGAGAGAGAGAGAGAGAGAGAGAAAGAAAGAGAUUGAUUGAGGAAGUGGUCAGAGAAACAUGAGCCAGGCACCUGUACCCUUUAACUAGACCCCACCACCUACCUUCCACCACUUCUUAAUGAUGUCAUCAACUAUAAAUCUAUCAAGGAUCAAACCAUUGAUUAGGUCAGAGUGCUGGUAACCUACUCUUCCUUGGAAAAGCCAUGGCAGACACACUCAGAGGUGUGCCUUAUGAACUAUCUUCUACCUAUGUGUCACUCGGGUGAAGUUGACAAUUAAGAUUAAUCAUCCUACUUGGUUCCCAAGCAAUGGAUAUCAAGAACACUUGCCCUGAAUAAAUAAAGCCAAGAUGACAUAUGGAAGGGGUGCUGUUGCUUCAAAUUCUGUUCCAACUGCCAACACUCAGACUUCGGAACCACUUAGAAGCAGAGCAGAGGAGGAAACUGGGGCUAGGGAGAUGACUCAGCUGGGAAAUUGAAGUGGUAAGGUCAUGCAAGCGUGGAGACCGGAGUUCCAGCCCCGGUGCCCAUGUACAAAGCCAUGCAUAGAUGUUCACACUUGUAAUCCCAGGACUGAGGAGGCAGAGACAGACAGGCCGGUUGGUCAGUGAGAGACCCUGCUUAAAAAAAAAAAAAAAAGGUGGACAGCUCCUAUGACUAACACCUAAGUUUGACCUCUGGCUUCCACACACAUACACACAUGUGCAUCAGCACCUACUUACAUACAUGCAACAUGCACGCACACACUGGAAAUCAAGACACAGAAAGAGUGAAUGAAUUACAUGGGGUCACUGCUGAAAGUAAGUGAAACUCGGGGCUCUGCUUUGCUUCAUCUCUGCCUUGCUUUCCUUAUACCUUUGAACCUAUAUAUACCAGCUGUGACAACAGCACAUUCAAGAGGCCAGAAUUUAUGGAGCAGAAAGGCCACCAUGAUGAAAGCAAUAAAGGACACCCCAGUUGUCACAGUGGAUAUUUGGUGUGUGUGUGUGUGUGGCAGAAACUGCUAGUGUUCACCAGCAUUUGUGUAACAGAGCUGGGAAUUUCUCAGAUUCCUGCAUCCAAGUGGAGCAUACUGACCAAUUCCUGCCAAUGCAAUGUGAACAGAAGAGAGAGGAUUGGAGUAAUAGUGUCAUGUGUGGUGAUAUCUUUCUUGCACAAAUAAAGCCUGUCUGGGGGUCAGAGAAUGGAGCUUGCCACUAGCUAACCAUAGAGGUCUAGAGGUCUGUACAGACAGACAGGAAAUUGUGUAGCUGGGCAGAAACAGGAUAUAAGCAGGGAGAAACAGGAAACUGUUCUCUGCUGAGAUGCUUAGGAGGUAAGGUGUGCUGUGGCUGGCUUCUCCUCUCUGAUCUCUAGCAUUUCUCUCUAUGUCUAACUCUGCCUUUUUAUUAUAUAGACCAAUUAAGAACUCCUUCAGCCCCAACAUUUCUGCAAAGAGCUUUCUCUGCAUCCACUGAUGCCAACUCACAUUCAACUGAAGAGUAGAUAAGAAAACCUCAGGUAGACACUGGGAUUGGAUGGUGUUUUGUUAUAGCAGCCAGCAUGCUUAUGUGGUAAGCACUUUACCAAAGGAACCAAGUCCCUGGCCCCUUGAUCUAAGCCUUUGAAUUUACGCCCUCCUUAGACAUGAGCCUAGCUUUGCAGUUAGACCAGGAAAACCCAGCCGCAUUCCACUUUCUUCAUGGAAACCAAACAGUCAAGCUCACAUAUUUUCUCUUCUGUUCUGAUAACAUUUUAUUGAUUAUUAGACAGCAAACAAAAGGCAGGCAGAUGUGGCACUACACGCAGUGACAGACUGCAAACAGGGAAAGUCAAUUCCACACCUUGCUGGUUCAUUUGCCAUGUCAGUGACCCCGCUGCUGCUUAAUACCAGUCCUCACCUGGGUAAGGCUUGGACAAGGCACUGGGCUCCUCUGGGCCUGUCUUCCAAUGACCAGAGAACGUCUGUGAACAGCAGACCAGACUGCUCAUUGUGAGAGCUGGACACCACAGGGGCAACCUGGGGUCAACUUCCAAUCAACAGGGAGUAACUAGGUUCUUGUUCCAACGGAAGAGGUUAGAGGAGACAGAAGAAAGCAGAGAGGAGACACCCAGAAUAAUUCAACCUCAAGGUAGUUAAUUUGAUACUAACUAUGGGAGGAGGGACACACAUACAUACUUACAUACAUGCUGCAACAUGCUUCAUAAACUAUAUGAGAGGGCUGUCCCAACUGAUUGAGAGGAAAGGAAAAAUCAAGGAAGGCUUCAUAGAAAAGGGAGAGUUGGAGACAAGCUGACCAGCUAUCCUUCAAAACACUGGCUCCUCUGUACAGAGGGACAAAGGAUUUGAAAUCACAUGGUACGCUGCAGGUUGAAUCUGGAACUAUCCUCCACCCCACACCAACCAAAGGCUUAUGUGUUAAGGUCUGGGUCUCCUGGAAGUCUUCAUGCCAUUGGGGAAAUGCCCUUGGGGAGACUGUGGAAUUGGACUCAGGACCUUCUUUCUUUAUCCAGCCAUGAAAUGAGUGGCUUUGCUCUGCCGUAGGCUUCUACUCAGGUUUGUCCCCAAGCAAUGGCUCUGACCGGAACCUCCAAAACAACGAGCCAAAAUAAACCUUUUUUCUUUAAACGCUGAUUAUCUCUGUUAUUUGCUAAAGCUAUGGAAAGCUAACACACCCCAUUCAAUAAAAGCUCAUUACUGGAAUACGAGAGGGACUUUCGUCAUGAAGCAGUUCCAGAACAUUCCCCACUGUGGGCUGCAUGAACAAUAGAUGGAGAGUUGUCUGUAAAGUCUGGGGCAGGGAAGGAAGACUUACUUUCCUGGGAAGCCUCCUGGAGCAGCUCUAGAUAAGAGCCCUGAGGGUCUGACAUAGAGCUAUGUGCCCAGCAGUACUGCACCCCAAGGGAGACCCAAGCACCCCACAAAUGUAGUGGGCUGCUUGCUACUGGGGAUGCUCAAAUUCUGCCUGAUUCUUGGAAGCUAGGUAGACUGCUCAUCCCCCCCUGUUCUAAUAGUCAUAGGUCCAGUGGACCCCUCCUUAAGUAGUACCUCUCUGGACAUGCGUGCUGAAGUUACUUGUCAUGGAGAGGCAAGUAUGGUCUCCUAGGACAGAGAGUUAUGAUUUAGAAAUAGCUAUGGUCUGGCCUUUCUAACACUUGCCACUGUACUCACUGUAAGUUUAAUGAGGGACAAAUCCUUUGCCUAUUAGCACUCUAAAGUCCAGGUCAGAAGAUGGAGAAUCUGUACGGCAACCUAGUAAGCUCACUUCCCAAGGCCACCCAAUUGCAGGCAGCUCAACCCCAGGCCAGUCAGAGCCCUUGGUACAAAGAAUUUUAUGAUCCGGCAGACUUCCACCUCCUCCAAAAUCCAUACUUGAGUUUCUGGGAAGGGUGGGAGGUGGAAAGGAUAGGUAAAGGAGGGACCAAAGAGGGAGACAGAACACAACUUUAAAAAAGAAACCGAAGAGAACUUAGUAACUUGGAGUCUGCAGAGAUCAGCACCUGGCAGGUCACAAAAGCCAAAAGGCAGGUCCCAGGAUGGGUCAAUUUCAGACUUAAUAUUUGCCCUUCACUAGGCAAACUAAUAAAUCCCCAAUGGCUUUAACUAUUCAGCACUCCCCAUUUUUACUUAUUGGUCAAAAUGACAGGCAGACUUGGUUUUUUUUUACCCCCUUGCCUUGCAGUCACUCAGGGCUAAACAGCCCCCAUUAUUUCCCGUCACCAGCUGUGUGUCUAUUUGCCUUUUCCUUCAACAAACUCAUGCUCAGUGCAACUGACAACAUGUGCAAACAUCUUUGAAGUAUUCUUUGGUAAUGGACUUCCCUGGGAUGGGACAGUCUUAAUUCCAAUUUGUGCAGCUGAAGGGACAGUGAGCUACCAAUCAGGAAAUAGACAGCAGCCAGGGCAGGCAGGGCGACAAACCUGACUCACAGGCAACGUCUUUACUUCCCUGCUCCAUUGCAUGUACGAAGAAAAACUGAGCCACAGAGGCAGGGUGGAGUGACUGACACAUGACCUUGAGCUGGUUGAGGCAAAGGACUAGAUCCCAGGUAUCCAGACCACUCCUCAACCUAUCAAAAGUUCAAGGAUCUCCUUAGGCUUCCCUCCACAUGUUUUCCACAAGCCUACAGAGUCGGUGGUCAUUUCCAAAGGUACUCUCUGCCCUGCAGUCUCCUGAGCAGGAGGCCACACUUCCCCAUAAACAUCUUCCCAUCUGUAGUAAUUCCAUACUCAUAUCUCCAUAGAAAGGUCCCCAGGUCUGUUUGUAGAGCAGAGUGUUCCUAUGGUUUGGAGUCAAGUUCAAAUGCCCCAUAAGAUCCCAGGGGUGCGGAGCAGAGUAAAUUUGAAAUGUCGUUAUGAUCACGAUACCUGAGUCAUGAUCAGGUUGAGAGUGGUCAGCACGGGGAUGGGGUGAUUUCCAUUGGCCCAUGGAUAUCCGCUAAUGGUCUCUUCCACUACAGAAAAUACAGUAGAUCUUUAAGACACCAACUCCUAGAAAACUGAUGGCUUGUCCUUCAAAUACAACAGCAAUGUGAAUGUCGUCAGGAGAUGGUCCUAGGCACCUGUGCCCAGCCCUGCAUGUUAAAUACAAGGAGCUAAAAUGAGGGACUUUCUGACAUCAAAAUCUCAGGUCUCCUGUUUCCCUGCCCUGUGAUUUUUAUUUUAAACCAGCAUACACAUACCACUAGGAUCCAAAAAUAGGAGACUGAUUAGGGGAGAAGACAAAAUAUAUUAGCUCAAAAAUGUUGUUGAGGAGUUGACAAUCACGGCCACGUGGCAGCCUCUGAAUUGCUCUUUCAAAUUCUCUUCUUCCCACCAUGGUGGUAAAUACUGUUCAGCCCCCUUCACAAUUCCCUCUCAACCAAAGGCUGCCUCCCCAGGCCUGGAUGACAUCUGGUCAGAAUUUAAAAGGAGAUUCCUGUGUGAAUAGAUUGUUCCAGAAAACUGAUGAGGUAGGGUACUUUAGCUGCUGAGAUCCGGGGGCUCUAUGUGGAGGAAAAGGGAGUAGGAAACAGCUGUCUCUAUCUCAAUGGCAAAGCUUCUUCUAGGAUCAAAGGGUGACAGGGUACAUAUGAAGGGGGUCAGCUGAAACAUGAUCAUCUUUUGGGGGGGCAGACAGGGAGACAGAGAGACAGAGUGAGAGAGUGAGCAUGCAUGCAUGCACAUGUGUGCUUGAGCAGAGACCAAAGUUUCUGUGGAGGUCAGAAAAAGGUGUGUGAUGCCCUAGAACUUGAGCUCCAGGCAGUUGUGAGCUGCCUGGUGUGGGGAGUGGAAACUGUACUGUGGUCCUCUGCAAGAGCAGCAGGCACUCUUAAACACCAAGCCAUCUCUCUAGCCCCCUUGUUUUUUUGAGACAGGGUCUCUCAUUGGCCUGGAACUUGCCAAGUAGGCCAGGCUGGCUGAGCAGUGAAGCCCAGGAAUCUGUCUCUCAAGCAUUGGGUUAAUAACUGUAUACCACCACACACUGGUCCUCACAUAGUUUCUUGAUUGAGCCAUCUCCCCAAUCCCAUGGUCAUCUUUUCAAAGAUGGUGCCCAAAGAGAAGGAUACAGGCUAGUAUUCUUCCCAAUCCAAGAAUUAUGCCAAAACCCCUGGAUCUCAUUGCAACCCUAGUAUGUAAUUAACCGCCUGUGGCCUUCAACUCAAGAUGAGAAGAAUUAGUGGGACGCCAUGCUCCAGCAUCAUGGACCCUCAUGCUUAGCCUUCAGCAGAAAGAUGUGGGCUGAAAGCCCUGACAGGCAGCAACAGCUUCAGGUGCCAGGUGAUCCUGAAAACCUGGCUUUUUCAAGCUGCAAAAGAACCUGUAAUUUACCUUUCAAUUGCUCUUACUUGUCAUGAACACCCCGAAUUGGAUUGGCAUGACCCCGCCCGUCCUCACCUCCUUGAAGUUCCUCCCACUCCCUGAUGCUAGUGACUGAGAAGGGGAGAGUGAGCUGGGAGGUCCCACUCAGUGGUUUCUGAGUUGAACCCAGGUUAUCAGGGUUAUCGGGGAGGACUCUAGAGAGAAAGUACACACUUAUCCCCAGCUGAAAUGCCCUUGAUAGUCUAAAUAAAAGCUACACUUCAAAGGACUUCCAGGAAGUCUCCUAGCCAAGUCCCUUGCUUUCCAGACAUCGUCCCUAAGAUUUCAGCUCUUUGUCUCUGUCUAGCGAAGAUGCAAAUUUUUGAUCUUGGUUUAUUCUCUAUAGCACAUGUUUGCACAGGUGUUAAGCACACACACACACACACACACACACACAUGCAAACAUGAACAUGGUGCCAUGCAUCCUGUACUAUCCUGGUGGCUGUGGGUUUGCUUCUUCAAGGGCAGUUUCAUUUUGAAUAAGAGGUAAGUGUCACCUACAUAGGACUGCCCUAGAGCAAUCCCAGGUAUUUUGAAUUUCUGCCAUGCCCACUGUAUACAAACUCCUCGGAAGGACAUGGUCUCAACUGGCCCACGACACUUCAUAUUUUCUGGCCCAUGACACUUCAGAUUUUCUUCAGUACAAGACAAACUUACCAUCUUACAGAUAACAGAUUUGGUCAGGAUGGAGCACCUGAUCCGCUCAGACCUGUGUCCAAAGAGUGACCAGAUAUACAGCUCUGAAUAGGAAUUGGCCAAGCAACCUAGAAGCUUUCCCUUGCUGCUGCAGCAGAAGAGAUAUGGUCACUGGUUCACUCAGUAGGAUGACCAAUCGUGACACUUUUCCUAAGUCAGCCCCAGGUUUAGCUCCCCCAAAUCUCUUGUCCCAAGAAAUCCCAUGUCCUUGGCAGUCUGGGAUGACUGGAUCUCCCCAGCUCCACAGAGUGGAAUGUGGGAGUUAGAAACACUAUUUCCUACUGUAUAGGGAGGCACAUGACGGUCUGGAUGCUACCGUCCUUGUCAUCCCUGUAGUUCUUGAGUAUAUGGUCUAACUAUGGGAUUAUAGGGCAGGCCAUCUGGGCAGUCCCUCCAACCAUUUCUAUUACCUUACCCACUGUUAGAAAAGACCUAUAGGGAUAAUAGGAGUGGGUCACCAUUCCUUCAAACCUGAAGAAACUCAUACAACACAGACAAUGGCACUGUGUGCUUAGGAAAGGAGGGAGGGACGGAGGGAAGGAGGGAUGGAGGGGGAGGGAGGGAGGGCAGGUGGAUGUUUGUAAGCCUUCUUUGGAUUUCAGCAGCAUUAAACAUCUUUAGGAAGUCUCUUCAAUUCCACCAUGGAGAAUCUGAGAGGCCAAAGACAAUGCCCCACUGUAAAGUCACUGAACACAGCCAUAGAAUCAUGCCAAUGACAAUUCGAGGAAACAAACUAUCCAUCCAUUUUAUAAAUAAAAAAAAGUCUCAAACAUCUUCGAGUGCACAGUCAAGAAGGUGGAGUCAUGACAUGAUUAGGAAGGAUUUCCAACUGCACAAGUAGAGGCCACAGAGGAGGGAGGAGGAAAAGGCUCCGGCUGCUGACAGCACACAGGACAGCGAGGACAUGCACAGAAGGCAACACCAAUGGAGCUGGCGGCUCAGUCACACAGCCCUGGAUGAGCUGAUUGCCAACUGCCACCUCUGAAGAAGGUCUUUUAGCUCAUUCCCUUUGUGUCACAGAAAAUGGCUUCACCUCUACCAGUCCAAAUGUACACCUGCAUGUGGAUCCAACCAGUGCAAGACCACAGCCAGCGCCAGCUCUACUCAACUCCCGGCUCAGCUGUCUCCACUUUCCCUGGCCUCCAAGAGCUAACAGGGCCUUCACGCUGGCUCUCGUGUCACUCUGGAGUCACAUACCUUUUCCAGGCUGCGUGCCAUGCACUGAGAAUGAUCUCUUUACAAGGAACAGCAACAAAAAAAAUCAAGACCCAUUCAACUCAAGAAUAGUUAACUAUUCACUCUGCAUCCGGCUCGAAGAUAAUAGAGCAAAUAAGAAGCAUCUUUGGGUCCAAAGGUGAGGUGGGGUCAGGCAGGGAAGGAUGCGGUGCCUGGGACAGGGGCAGGUGGAGAAGAGCAUUCUGGGUAGUGGCAUCAGGGACUUUUCUACACGACAGAAGAUGAGUUGGGAUGGUGAGCCUUCACCAGCUGUGGGUAAAAUCCAGAGAUGUCUUUUUUCAUUCAAGUCAACACAGAUCAUUCCUUCCCAAGUGUCUCCACAGUCUAGAAGUUUCUAUAUUUUCCAAAAUGAUAUUCCUCAGUUGAAUCCAGGCCUCUCAAGAAGUAGCCUGAUCUCAGCCAAGUCCUGAAAGGAAGACCAGGGACAUAGUUUCCACUUUUCCACAGAGCUUCUGGUGAGUAGCAUGGGUGAGCAGGAACAGCCCUUGGUCAGCCUCCAUCUUGGCCUGUGGACCAAAAGACAGCAAGAGUUAGAUGGUGGCAUCUGCUCUAUCCACAAUGCUUCACUUUCC